CCUUCGAUAGCACAGUUGGUAGAGCGGUGGACUGUAGAAAAUUUGGAAAGUGAACAAACUGCUCCUCUAGAGUGCAAUUUGAUCAAUCAAAAGCUUUCCGAUCGUGUAGAGAAAUCCAUAGGUCACUGGUUCAAAUCCGGUUCGAAGGA
rnacentral:tRNA from 1 species